GACGAACGCUGGCGGCGUGCUUAACACAUGCAAGUCGAACGGAAAGGCCCUGCUUUUGUGGGGUGCUCGAGUGGCGAACGGGUGAGUAACACGUGAGUAACCUGCCCUUGACUUUGGGAUAACUUCAGGAAACUGGGGCUAAUACCGGAUAGGAGCUCCUGCUGCAUGGUGGGGGUUGGAAAGUUUCGGCGGUUGGGGAUGGACUCGCGGCUUAUCAGCUUGUUGGUGGGGUAGUGGCUUACCAAGGCUUUGACGGGUAGCCGGCCUGAGAGGGUGACCGGCCACAUUGGGACUGAGAUACGGCCCAGACUCCUACGGGAGGCAGCAGUGGGGACUAUUGCACAGUGGGCGGAAGCCUGAUGCAGCAACGCCGCGUGCGGGAUGACGGCCUUCGGGUUGUAAACCGCUUUCGCCUGUGACGAAGCGUGAGUGACGGUAAUGGGUAAAGAAGCACCGGCUAACUACGUG
rnacentral:rRNA from 1 species